rnacentral:rRNA from 1 species
GUGCAGCAGGCGCGAAAACUUCACAAUGUGCGAAAGCACGAUGAGGGAAUCCCAAGUGCUUGCACGUAAGUGUAAGCUGUUUCUCUGUCUAAAACGCAGAGAGAGUAAGGGCUGGGUAAGACGGGUGCCAGCCGCCGCGGUAAUACCUGCAGCUCGAGUGGUGACCGUUAUUAUUGGGCCUAAAACGUCCGUAGCCGGUUUAAUAAAUGCCUGGGUAAAUCGGACCGCUUAACGGUUCGAAUUCCGGGUAGACUGUUAAACUUGAGACCGGGAGAAGUUAGAGGUACUCCUGGGGUAGAGGUGAGAUUCUGUAAUCCUAGGGGGACCACCAGUGGCGAAGGCGUCUAACUAGAACGGGUCUGACGGUGAGGGACGAAGCCCUGGGGCGCAAACGGGAUUAGAUACCCCUGAGU